rnacentral:rRNA from 1 species
UACGGAAGGCAGCAGUGGGGAAUAUUGCACAAUGGGCGAAAGCCUGAUGCAGCUAUGCCGCGUGUAUGAAGAAGGCCUUAGGGUUGUAAAGUACUUUCAUCGGGGAGGAAAAAACAAAACUAAUAAUUUUAUUUCUUGACGUUACCCGAAAAAGAAGCACCGGCUAACUCCGUGCCAGCAGCCGCGGUAAUACGGAGGGUGCUAGCGUUAAUCAGAAUUACUGGGCGUAAAGAGCACGUAGGUGGUUUUUUAAGUCAGAUGUGAAAUCCCUGGGCUUAACCUAGGAACUGCAUUUUGAAACUGAAAUACUAGAGUAUCGUAGAGGGAGGUAGAAUUCUAGGUGUAGCGGUGAAAUGCGUAGAUAUCUGGAGGAAUACCUGUGGCGAAAGCGGCCUCCUAAACGAAUACUGACACUGAGGGUGCGAAAGCGUGGGGAGCAAAACAGGGAUUAGAUACC